CAGAACGAACGCUGGCGGCAGGCCUAACACAUGCAAGUCGAGCGCGAAAAUACUUCGGUAUGAGUAGAGCGGCGGACGGGUGAGUAACGCGUAGGAACCUACCUAAUAGUUUGGGAUAGCCCAGAGAAAUUUGGAUUAAUACCGGAUACGCCCUACGGGGGAAAGCAGGGGAUCUUCGGACCUUGCGCUAUUAGAUGGGCCUGCGUGAGAUUAGCUAGUUGGUGAGGUAAUGGC
rnacentral:rRNA from 12 species